UACGUAGGUGACAAGCGUUGUCCGGAUUUACUGGGCGUAAAGAGCGCGCAGGCGGUCGUUCAAGUCGAGUGUGAAAGCCCCCGGCUCAACUGGGGAGGGUCAUUCGAUACUGAUCGACUCGAAGGCAGGAGAGGGUAGUGGAAUUCCCGGUGUAGUGGUGAAAUGCGUAGAGAUGCGGAGGAACACCGAUGGCGAAGGCAGCCCCCUGGGGCGACACUGACGCUCAGGCACGAAAGCGUGGGGAGCAAACAGG
rnacentral:rRNA from 1 species